rnacentral:rRNA from 1 species
GAUGAACGCUGGCGGCGUGCCUAAUACAUGCAAGUCGAGCGAACGGACGAGAAGCUUGCUUCUCUGAUGUUAGCGGCGGACGGGUGAGUAACACGUGGAUAACCUACCUAUAAGACUGGGAUAACUUCGGGAAACCGGAGCUAAUACCGGAUAAUAUUUUGAACCGCAUGGUUCAAAAGUGAAAGACGGUCUUGCUGUCACUUAUAGAUGGAUCCGCGCUGCAUUAGCUAGUUGGUAAGGUAACGGCUUACCAAGGCAACGAUGCAUAGCCGACCUGAGAGGGUGAUCGGCCACACUGGAACUGAGACACGGUCCAGACUCCUACGGGAGGCAGCAGUAGGGAAUCUUCCGCAAUGGGCGAAAGCCUGACGGAGCAACGCCGCGUGAGUGAUGAAGGUCUUCGGAUCGUAAAACUCUGUUAUUAGGGAAGAACAUAUGUGUAAGUAACUGUGCACAUCUUGGCGGUACCUAAUCAGAAAGCCACGGCUAACUACGUGCCAGCAGCCGCGGUAAUACGUAGGUGGCAAGCGUUAUCCGGAAUUAUUGGGCGUAAAGCGCGCGUAGGCGGUUUUUUAAGUCUGAUGUGAAAGCCCACGGCUCAACCGUGGAGGGUCAUUGGAAACUGGAAAACUUGAGUGCAGAAGAGGAAAGUGGAAUUCCAUGUGUAGCGGUGAAAUGCGCAGAGAUAUGGAGGAACACCAGUGGCGAAGGCGACUUUCUGGUCUGUAACCGACGCUGAUGUGCGAAAGCGUGGGGAUCAAACAGGAUUAGAUACCCUGGUAGUCCACGCCGUAAACGAUGAGUGCUAAGUGUUAGGGGGUUUCCGCCCCUUAGUGCUGCAGCUAACGCAUUAAGCACUCCGCCUGGGGAGUACGACCGCAAGGUUGAAACUCAAAGGAAUUGACGGGGACCCGCACAAGCGGUGGAGCAUGUGGUUUAAUUCGAAGCAACGCGAAGAACCUUACCAAAUCUUGACAUCCUUUGACAACUCUAGAGAUAGAGCUUUCCCCUUCGGGGGACAAAGUGACAGGUGGUGCAUGGUUGUCGUCAGCUCGUGUCGUGAGAUGUUGGGUUAAGUCCCGCAACGAGCGCAACCCUUAAGCUUAGUUGCCAUCAUUAAGUUGGGCACUCUAAGUUGACUGCCGGUGACAAACCGGAGGAAGGUGGGGAUGACGUCAAAUCAUCAUGCCCCUUAUGAUUUGGGCUACACACGUGCUACAAUGGACAAUACAAAGGGCAGCGAAACCGCGAGGUCAAGCAAAUCCCAUAAAGUUGUUCUCAGUUCGGAUUGUAGUCUGCAACUCGACUACAUGAAGCUGGAAUCGCUAGUAAUCGUAGAUCAGCAUGCUACGGUGAAUACGUUCCCGGGUCU